UUUCACAGCUGACUGAAUUAAAACACCUGGAUUUAUCAUAUAAUUUAUUAUCAAGUUUGCCUGAUGAAUUUUCAAAUCUCAGGUCUCUUGAAGAGUUAAGCGUUGAAGGUAACAAGCUUGCCACGCUACCCUCUGGACUGUUGCAACUGGAUCUGCUAUCAUUCAAUGCAUCCAAUAAUUUUUUACAUCCAAUUUUCUGGCCAGAGACAAUUAAAGAAUUCAGAGAAGACUUUCAGAAAUCACAUAAAGAUUCUGGUUAUCUUCGACCAAAACCUGAUUAUGAUGAAAUAACGUUACCAUGUUUUGGCACCGAUGAUUAUAAAGAAUUGGCACACCUGUUGGCUACCUGCGACAACUGCGAUAAGCGGUUCGAGCGCAAACAUGGUCUACAUGCCAUCAGAAUAUGCAAAAAGGUGUUCGGAAUUCAGGCUGUUCUGGUGCUGUUUAUCACGUGUUCAGAGAGAUGCAGGAAGGACCUUUGAAGACAAAUUGACGAACGAUUGUGCAAGCUUCCAAUAAAUUCUUCGGCCAAU